rnacentral:rRNA from 1 species
AUUGAACGCUGGCGGCAGGCCUAACACAUGCAAGUCGAACGGUAACAGGAAGAAGCUUGCUUCUUUGCUGACGAGUGGCGGACGGGUGAGUCAUGUCUGGGAAACUGCCUGAUGGAGGGGGAUAACUACUGGAAACGGUAGCUAAUACCGCAUAACGUCGCAAGACCAAAAAGGGGGACCUUCGGGCCUCUUGCCAUCGGCUUUGCCCAGAUGGGAUUAGCUAGUAGGUGGGGUAACGGCUCACCUAGGCGACGAUCCCUAGCUGGUCUGAGAGGAUGACCAGCCACACUGGAACUGAGACACGGUCCAGACUCCUACGGGAGGCAGCAGUGGGGAAUAUUGCACAAUGGGCGCAAGCCUGAUGCAGCCAUGCCGCGUGUAUGAAGAAGGCCUUCGGGUUGUAAAGUACUUUCAGCGGGGAGGAAGGGAGUAAAGUUAAUACCUUUGCUCAUUGACGUUACCCGCAGAAGAAGCACCGGCUAACUCCGUG